AAACGUAGGAGACGAGCGUUAUCCGGAUUUACUGGGCGUAAAGAGCGUGUAGGAGGCUGUACAAGUUGGAUGUGAAAGCUCCCGGCUUAACUGGGAGAGGUCGUUCAAGACUGUGCGGCUAGAGGAAGGCAGAGGUAGACGGAACUCCGGGAGUAGUGGUGAAAUGCGUAGAUAUCCGGAAGAACACCAGAGGCGAAAGCGGUCUACUGGGCCUUAGCUGACACUGAGACGCGAAAGCCAGGGUAGCAAACGGGAUUAGAGACCCCGGUAGUCCUGGCCGUAAACGAUGCAGACUGGGCGUUUAUAGGGUAAAACCUGUGAGUGCCGAAGCAAACGCGAUAAGUCUGCCGCCUGGGGAGUACGGUCGCAAGAUUAAA
rnacentral:rRNA from 1 species